GACGAACGCUGGCGGCGUGCCUAAUACAUGCAAGUCGAGCGAGUCUGCCUUGAAGAUCGGAGUGCUUGCACUCUGUGAAACAAGAUACAGGCUAGCGGCGGACGGGUGAGUAACACGUGGGUAACCUGCCCAAGAGAUCGUGAUAACACCUGGAAACAGAUGCUAAUACCGGAUAACAACAGAUGAUGCCUAUCAACUGUUUAAAAGAUGGUUCUGCUAUCACUCUUGGAUGGACCUGCGGUGCAUUAGCUAGUUGGUGGGGUAACGGCCUACCAAGGCGAAGGUGGAAAGCUGGGGUGAGAGGAUGAACCGGCAAAAUGGGACUGAGAAAAGGGCCAAACUCCCACGGGAGGGAAGAGGGGGGAAAAUUGACAAAAGGGAGCAAGGCUGAAGGAGCCAAACCGCGGGGGUGAAGAAGGGUUUUGGGUUGGAAAGCCUUUUUGUUGGGGAAGAAAAGAAGGGGGUAAAAAAUGAGCUGUGUUGAAGGGAAAAAAAUAAUAAAGACAGGGUAAAUUAGUG
rnacentral:rRNA from 1 species